CACUGAAGGAGGAGUUCGCGUCCCAUUAGCUGGUUGGUGGGGUAAUGGCCUACCAAGGCGACGAUGGGUAGCUGGUCUGAGAGGAUGGCCAGCCACACUGGAACUGAGACACGGUCCAGACUCCUACGGGAGGCAGCAGUGAGGAAUCUUGCGCAAUGGGGGAAACCCUGACGCAGCAACGCCGCGUGAGUGAGGAAGGUCUUCGGAUCGUAAAGCUCUGUCGGGUGGAAAGAAGUGGGGAAAGGUGAACAGCCUUUCUCCUUGACGGUACCACCGAAGGAAGCACCGGCUAACUCCGUGCCAGCAGCCGCGGUAAUACGGAGGGUGCGAGCGUUGUUCGGAAUCAUUGGGCGUAAAGAGCGUGUAGGCGGCUUGGCAAGUCAGAUGUGAAAUCCCUGGGCUCAACCCAGGAAGUGCAUUUGAAACUGCCCUGCUGGAGUAUGGGAGAGGGAAGUGGAAUUCCUGGUGUAGAGGUGAAAUUCGUAGAUAUCAGGAGGAACACCCGUGGCGAAGGCGACUUCCUGGCCCAAUACUGACGCUGAGACGCGAGAGCGUGGGGAGCAAACAGGAUUAGAUACCCUGGUAGUCCACGCCGUAAACGAUGUUCACUAGGUGUUGGGGGUAUUGACCCCCUCAGUGCCGAAGCUAACGCA
rnacentral:rRNA from 1 species